UACGGGGGGAGCAAGCGUUGUUCGGAUUUACUGGGCGUAAAGGGCUGGUAGGCGGCCAACUAAGUCGGAUGUGAAAUCCCCAGGCUUAACCUGGGAACUGCAUCCGAUACUGGUCGGCUUGAAUCCGGGAGAGGGAUGCAGAAUUCCAGGUGUAGCGGUGAAAUGCGUAGAUAUCUGGAGGAAUACCGGUGGCGAAGGCGGCAUCCUGGACCGGCAUUGACGCUGAACAGCGAAAGCUAGGGGAGCAAACGGG
rnacentral:rRNA from 1 species